rnacentral:rRNA from 1 species
GGCUCAGGACGAACUGCUGGCGGCGUGCCUAACACAUGCAAGUCGAGCGAAGUACUUAUCAAUAAGCCUUCGGGCAGAUUGAUAAGUUACUUAGCGGCGGAUGGGUGAGUAACGCGUGAGGAACCUGCCUUCCACAAGGGGAUAGCCUCGGGAAACCGGGAUUAAUACCCUAUGACACUUAAAGGUCCCAUGACUUUUAAGUUAAAGCGUUAGCGGUGGAAGAUGGCCUCGCGGUCCAAUUAGCUAGUUGGUGAGGUAAGGGCUCACCAAGGGCCACAAUGGGUAGCCGGAUUGAGAGAGUGAACCGGACAAACUGGAACUGAAGACACGGACCAGAGACCUACGGGAGGCAAGCAGUGGGGAAUAUAGCACAAUGGAGGGAACUCUGAUGCAGCGACGCCGCGUGAGCGAUGAAGGCCCAUCGGGUCGUCAAGCUCUGUACUAUGGGACGAAUAAAUGACGGAACCAUAGGAGGAAGCCACAGGCUAACUACGAAGACAGCAACCGAGGUAAUAAGAUAAAGGGGGCGAGCGUUGUCCGGAAUUACUGGGCGUAAAGGGUACGCAGGCGGUCAUGUAAGUCAGAUGUGAAAUCCUAAGGCUUAACCUUAGUAAGCAUUUGAAACUGCGUGGCUUGAGUUAAGGAGAGGAAAGUGGAAUUCCUGGUGUAGCGGUGAAAUGCGUAGAUAUCAGGAGGAAUACCAGUGGCGAAGGCGACUUUCUGGCCUUAAACUGACGCUGAGGUACGAAAGCGUGGGGAGCAAACAGGAUUAGAUAUCCCUGGUAGUCCACGCUGUAAACGAUGAGUGCUAGGUGUCGGGUGUCAAAGCUCGGUGCCGCAGUAAACACAUUAAGCACUCCGCCUGGGGAGUAC